GAUGAACCUCAGCAGGUGGAGCAAUCAGUCUGCUGCUGCAAACGACGACACAUUUGUUUCGAAUCUUUCAUGAAAUAACUCGAGAAAAUCGGCGGGCGCCGGUUGCCAUGACAAUGCGUGAGCCCCGCCCACACGUCCCGUGAGGUAAGAGCGUUUGCGUGAGGAGGAGAGGUGAGCUGUGCGUUCCCGUUGGGGUUCAGAGGUCAGACCAUGGCUGAGAGCUUCCGAGGUAAAACGCUUUUGAGGUGUAGAAAAAAACUGCAUUUGCGCGCACACACACACUCGAAGGGGGGGUUGUGUGUGUGUGUGUGUGUGUGCGCGCGCGCUGCUCCAGAGGUUAGUGUGUGUGUGUGUGUUUGGAUAAAGAGUCACGUGAUGAUGAUGAUGAUGAGACAGUUUCAGACCAACACGCUCAAGUUCCACCAGUUUUUGUCCAUUAGACAUUCCCCACAUGACCACCAGGGGGCCUCACAGGAAAAAUCCACCCCAGGAAUUUUCUAUUGACUUUUUGUUUUUAGCCACUUUUUAAAAAAAUGAUUUAAUUGUAUUUAUUUUACUUUUUUGGCCACUUUUUCAAAAAUAUUUCCUUUUUUCAUUUUUUUUUUAUUUGACUUUUUUGGCCAUUUUAUUUUAAAUUAAUUUAUUUAACCAUAUUUUGUAAAAAAAAAUAUAUAUAUAUAUUGUAUAACAUUUUUUUGGGCCACUAUGCAGUGGCCAUGUCGAAUGGAAGUGGGAGGAGUCAAAGCCACAGAGCUAAUUGGCUCAACAAGUCGAAAGGGGGCGUGGUUUAUCCUGGAGUGGAUUUUUCCUUUCACAUUCAUCAUGAAAAACUGCAAGCAGAUCAUACCUUUUUUUUUUUUUUUUUU